AACGAACGCUGGCGGCAUGCCUAACACAUGCAAGUCGAACGAGACCUUCGGGUCUAGUGGCGCACGGGUGCGUAACGCGUGGGAACCUGCACUUAGGUUCGGAAUAACUCCCCGAAAGGGGUGUUAAUACAGGAUAAUGUCUUCGGACCAAAGAUCUCUCGCCUUUGGAUGGGCCCGCGUUGGUUUAGCUAGUUGGUAGGGUAAAAGCCUACCAAGGCGACGAUCCAUAGCUGGUGUGUGAGGAUGAUCAGCCACACUGGGGAUGGGACACGGACUAGACUCCGACGGAAAGGAGCGGAGGGGAAUAUAGGACGAGGGGCGAAGGCCUGAUCCAGCAGUGCCGGGGAAGUGAGGAAGGCCGUAGGGUUGUAAAGCUCUUUGACCCGGGAUGAUAGUGACGGUACCGGGUGAAUAAGCUCCGGCUAACUCCGUG
rnacentral:rRNA from 1 species